CCUACGGGUGGCAGCAGUGGGGUAUAUUGGACAAUGGGCGAAAGCCUGAUCCAGCCAUGCCGCGUGUGUGAAGAAGGCCUUCGGGUUGUAAAGCACUUUCAGUGGGGAAGAAAGCCUUGGGGCUAAUACCCUCGAGGAAGGACAUCACCCACAGAAGAAGCACCGGCUAACUCCGUGCCAGCAGCCGCGGUAAUACGGAGGGUGCGAGCGUUAAUCGGAAUUACUGGGCGUAAAGCGCGCGUAGGCGGUCUGAUAAGCCGGUUGUGAAAGCCCCGGGCUCAACCUGGGAACGGCAUCCGGGAGUGUCAGGAGAGAGCGCAGGAGAGGAGGGAAGAAUCCCCGGUGAAGGGGGGAAAGGGGUAGAGAGCGGGAGGAAUGGAGGGGGGGAAGGGGGCCUCCGGGAGUGCCACGGGCGGGGGGGUGCAAAAGGGGGGGAAGAAAAAAGGGUCAGAGCCCCGAUAAGUC
rnacentral:rRNA from 1 species